rnacentral:rRNA from 1 species
UACGAAGGGUGCAAGCGUUAAUCGGAAUUACUGGGCGUAAAGGGUGCGUAGGCGGUUCGGUAAGUCUGUCGUGAAAUCCCCGGGCUCAACCUGGGAAUGGCGAUGGAUACUGGCGAGCUAGAGUGUGUCAGAGGAUGGUGGAAUUCCCGGUGUAGCGGUGAAAUGCGUAGAGAUGUGGAGGAAUACCGAUGGCGAAGGCAGCCCCCUGGGCUAACACUGACGCUCAUGCACGAAAGCGUGGGGAGCAAACAGG